GUAGGUCACAAGCGUUGUCCGGAAUUACUGGGUGUAAAGGGAGCGCAGGCGGGAGAACAAGUUGGAAGUGAAAUCCAUGGGCUCAACCCAUGAACUGCUUUCAAAACUGUUUUUCUUGAGUAGUGCAGAGGUAGGCGGAAUUCCCGGUGUAGCGGUGGAAUGCGUAGAUAUCGGGAGGAACACCAGUGGCGAAGGCGGCCUACUGGGCACCAACUGACGCUGAGGCUCGAAAGUGUGGGUAGCAAACAGGAUUAGAUACCCUGGUAGUCCACACCGUAAACGAUGAUUACUAGGUGUUGGAGGAUUGACCCCUUCAGUGCCGCAGUUAACACAAUAAGUAAUCCACCUGGGGAGUACGACCGCAAGGUUG
rnacentral:rRNA from 1 species